GUAUCAUGGCUCAGGAUGAACGCUAGCUACAGGCUUAACACAUGCAAGUCGAGGGGCAGCAUGGUCUUAGCUUGCUAAGGCCGAUGGCGACCGGCGCACGGGUGAGUAACGCGUAUCCAACCUGCCUUACACUCUUGGACAGCCUUCUGAAAGGGAGGUUAAUACAAGAUGUUAUCAUGAGUAAGCAUUUUCGCAUGAUUAAAGGUUUACCGGUGUAAGAUGGGGAUGCGUUCCA
rnacentral:rRNA from 1 species